rnacentral:lncRNA from 10 species
UCACAAGAUGGUGAACGGCGGGUGCUCUGGAGACGUCCACAAUGGCUGUGUCUCCUCCGGGAUGGCACAAAAGGAUCCUCCAAAAAUAGGCCUCUGGGAUAAAGAGCUCCUGACAUUCUGACCUUGACUCUGCAGACUGCCAGGACUUCAAGAGAGGGAGAGUCCAAGGUGGCAGCCACUUGAGCACUCACUGGGCUCAGAGUAACAAGGGAUUAGCCCAAAGGAACCGGCUUCUUCUCAAGAUCAUCUGCGAGCCUAAAUCUUUGUGGCCGUCUGACAACGACCCUGUCUUCAGCUGACUUAAGGAAAAGUCCCGCAACACUGGCCCAUAGGUGGAAGGGAUUUGCCUUCCAUCUUGCUCCUACCGGGCCCUCCAGCCCUGCUACUUCAGAUGAGUCUUUGGACUUUUGAGUUAAUGCUGAAUGACUUAAGACUUUGGGGGGACCAUGGAGAAGGGAUGAUUGUAUUUUGCAACAUGAGGACAUGAGAUUUGGGAGAAGGCAAGAGCAGAAUAUCGUUUGAGCAUAACUUCACCUAGAUCUCAUGUUCAAUUGUAAUCCCUAGGGUUGGAGGUGUUUGGGUGAUGAGGAUGGAUCCCUCAUGAAAGGCUUAGCCCAUCCCCUUGGAGAUAAGUGAGCUCUCUGCAUUCCUGUAAGAUCUGAUCAUUUAAAAAUGUGUGGCACCUCCCUGCUCCAUUCUCUCUCUUGCUCUGUUCUCAUCAUGUGAUGUGCCUGCUCCCCCUUUGCCUUCUGCCAUGAUUGGAAGCCUCCUGAGGCCUCCCCAGAAGCAGAUGGCACUAUGCUUCCUGUACAGCCCACAGAACCAUGAGCCAAUUAAACCUCUUUUCUUAUACAUUACCCAGUCUCAGGCAGUUCUUUAUAGCACUGCAACAACGGCCCAAUACAGGCUGGAAGGGAUUCCCCGGUGCUCCUGGAGGACCCUGCUCCUCUGACAGUGGGUGGAUCCCUGCCAGCCUUGAGGCAGGCUGAUGACCUUGCCCACAGAUAGCUCCUGUCUUCUUCCUUUCUACCACUUUCUCUUCAAUUCCAUUUUUCCUUUAUUGCUUCCUAUUUCCAUCUUCUUCUCCCUUUCUUCCUUCUCUCCCUGUUCAUUUCUUAGAUCUCCUACUGGCAACUGGGGGGUCCAUGGCCACACUCAUGUCUGAAAUAUUUAGAAGAGGUCAGUGGAGAGAGAGCCCCAGUUCCAGGAAUCAUGAUGGCUUCUAAACACUUGUGGAGCUAAUUAGACACUGAUGUGUACAGGCUAUCCUAGUUUUCCAAUUUAUCUUCUCACGUAUAUAUUACCACUCUUUUCAACUACAUUAUAAGCUUCUUGAGGACAAAGACUCAAGAAUGAGAAUAAUAAUGAUGAGUCUUUACUGAUGAGAAGUCUUUGAAUGAUGGUAAUAAUUUUGAUUCUGGCACCAACUGGCUGCACAUCCUUGGACAAGUCACUCUACUUCUCUGGGUCUAUUUUCUCAUGUGCAAAAGGACGUAAGAAAAUUACAGUGCUGCAAAGAGCUCUAGGCCUCCACAGAGGGCUUCGGGACAGGUGCAGGCAAGAGGAAGGCUAAGUAAGGAGGCUUUGACUCCCCAUCCCCUCUUGAACCAGAGCAAUGCCAUAAUCCCACAUGCUGAGUGUCGAAGGGUCCUAACACAGUUGAAGAGGGUCCAGGGAGCCAAUAUGACAGAGUGUGGACAGAGAAUACACACAAAAAGCAGCAGCAGCUACCUAUUACUGACCAGUCCGGAAGAAUUUUACUGGCUUUAUGUGCCAGGUUCUGCAUAAGAUUUGAAAAGAGGGAUCAGUGUUUUUUUCGUUUUUCUUGGAACUUUGAAUACCACUUCCAAAGCGGUAGCUAACUUCCAAAGUCCCUCCAAGAUGCUAUGGCGAGGGAGACCGCCAGGCCCUGGUUUGUGUGCAUUUCUGCCAAAGGCACAGUGAGAUUUUAGGACAUGGGACGGAAUAAAGAGCUCCUCUUCUUCACUUCCUCUCCUUGUUGUUCUGAGGAUCACCAUGAAUACAAAGAGACUUUAUAACAAAACACCCUCCAUUAAUGAGAUUAUUAAUAUUUGUGCUUUAGAGGAACACAGACUCCUUGUGAGCAGAAGCCAUGCCAGGGUAGAUCUCUUGGGACCAGGACAGUCUGGAGAGACUGACUGAAGUGUCUACUCCCAUGUGCACAGUAGAGCUGGGGGAUGCUCACCCACCUGUGCUGAACACUGUGUGGCUACAUCCACUAGGUGACAGACCCAGGGUGUGAGAACUCAUACCAAGACAGCUUGUGUGUGCCCACCUAGAUUUAUGUAAAUGUACUUAUGGAAGCCAGCAAGAAUUCUCCACCAAACAGAAUUGAUGAGAAGCCCAGUUAUGCAAUUCCAUCUCAGUACAAGGUGCAAAAGACAAUCAACACAAUAAUAACACCUCAAGCAGCACGCUGUAUCUCAGGUUGUUUCAGAACUUGAAUACUCAUCAGCCCGACCUCUACAUGCAUUUCCUGCCUAUUCUCUGUCUGAGAGAUGAAGGAUGCACAACCUCUUAGCUCUCACUACCUCAUUCUUCUCCCAUGUAUUCAUCCAGCACGCCACAAAUACUUCCUGAGAGUUGCAGCACUUUGCUCCACUUGCCGCAUUGCCCUCUCAGCGCAUCGAUGAGUUGGAGAAUGUAAGAGGCUGGGAGAAAAACCAGGACACCCAUCCCAAACUCCUUGGGAUAUGGAGGUGAGGGGGCUGAUUCAAGGACACAUGUCUUGCCUAUGUGAGGGGCAUGAGAGUUUCUCCAUGGCUGGUCUGACAUUCCUUCUGCUGAAGCACGGCCGUCUCUAUCCAUGGACUGUCUGAAACCCCUGGGUUACUGUGCCCAACAGGAGCUGCUGGGCAGGUAAAAGCCUGCUUGCCAGGUAUGGCUGGAGGGGUGGGCAGCAGGCCUCCCACACUGAAGGCCUCCUCCUCCUGGGAUCUCCACCUAUGCCUGAGAUUCAGCCAUGAAGAAGCCUUCCUUCCACUGACAGAAAUGGAUAAACAAAAUGUGGUGCCUACACAUUCCCACACAUGCUACAGCAUGGACGAGCCGUGAAAACACUGUGCUAAGCAAAAGAAGCCAGACACAGUAGGACAAAUACCGUAUGAUCCCACUUACAUGAAAGAUCUAGAGUAGGCAAAUUCACAGAGACACACAGUAGAUUACGGGUUACGAGGGGCUGGGGGAAGGAGCAAUGGGAAUUACUGCUUAACAGGUACAGAGUUCCUGUUUGUGGAGAUGAAAAACUUCGGAAAUGGUGGUGAUGGUUGCACAACAUUGUGGGUGUGAUUAAUGCCACUGAAUUUCACACUUAAAAAUGGUUAGAAUGGUAAAUUGUGUUAUAUAUAUUUUACCACAAUAAAAAAAGAAG